rnacentral:rRNA from 1 species
UACGUAGGUGACAAGCGUUGUCCGGAAUUAUUGGGCGUAAAGCGCGCGCAGGCGGCCUCUUAAGUCUGAUGUGAAAGCCCCCCGGCUCAACCGGGGGAGGGCCAUUGGAAACUGGGAGGCUUGAGUAUAGGAGAGAAGAGUGGAAUUCCACGUGUAGCGGUGAAAUGCGUAGAGAUGUGGAGGAACACCAGUGGCGAAGGCGACUCUUUGGCCUAUAACUGACGCUGAGGCGCGAAAGCGUGGGGAGCAAACAGG